rnacentral:rRNA from 1 species
UACGUAGGGGGCAAGCGUUGUCCGGAUUUAUUGGGCGUAAAGAGCGUGUAGGCGGCCAGGUAGGUCUGCUGUGAAAUCUCGAGGCUCAACUUCGAGCUGUCGGUGGAAACUGUCUGGCUAGAGUCCGGAAGAGGAGAAUGGAAUUCCUGGUGUAGCGGUGAAAUGCGUAGAUAUCGUAAGGAAGACCAGUGGCGAAGGCGGGUCUCUAGACAGUUCCUGACGCUGAGGCACGAAGGUCAGGGGAGCAAACGGG